rnacentral:rRNA from 1 species
UACCUGCAGCUCGAGUGGUAACCGCUAUUAUUGGGCCUAAAGCGUCCGUAGCCGGUUUGGUAAAUAUCUGGGUAAAUCGUGAGGCUUAACUUCACGAAUUUCGGAUAGACUGCCAGACUUGGGAUCGGGGGAGGUCAGAGGUACUCCAGGGGUAGCGGUGAAAUGUUGUAAUCCUUGGAGGACCACCGGUAGCGAAGGCGUCUGACUAGAACGAGUCCGACGGUGAGGGACGAAGCCCUGGGGCGCAAACCGGAUUAGAUACCCGGGUAGUCCAGGGUGUAAACUAUGUGGGCUUUGUAUUGGAGGUCCCACGUGGGCGUCCAGUGCAGAAGAGAAGUUGUUAAGCCCACCGCCUGGGAAGUACGGUCGCAAGGCUGAAACUUAAAGGAAUUGGCGGGGAGCACAGCAACGGGAGGAGCGUGCGGUUUA